rnacentral:rRNA from 1 species
AGCAGCCGCGGUAAUUCCAGCUCCAAUAGCGUAUAUUAAAGUUGCUGCAGUUAAAAAGCUCGUAGUUGAAUUUCGGGACUAAUAUGUCGGUCGUGCCUCGGUACGUACUGGUUUAUUGGUUUCUCCUUUCUGAAGAACCAUGAUGUCAUUUAUUUGGUGUCGUGGGGAAUCAGGACUGUUACUUUGAAAAAAUUAGAGUGUUUAAAGCAGGCUCACGCUUGAAUACAUUAGCAUGGAAUAAUGAAAUAGGACGUUUGAUUCUAUUUUGUUGGUUUCUAGGAUCGACGUAAUGAUUAAUAGGGGUAGUUGGGGGACAUUAGUAUUCAAUUGUCAGAGGUGAAAUUCUUGGAUUUAUUGAAGACUAACUACUGCGAAAGCAUUUGCCAAGGAUGUUUUCAUUAAUCAAGAACGAAAGUUAGGGGAUCGAAGACGAUCAGAUACCGUCGUAGUCUUAACCAUAAACUAUGCCGACUAGGGAUCGGAUGAUGUUAAUUUUUUAAUGACUCAUUCGGCGCCUUAC